rnacentral:rRNA from 1 species
AUGGUCCUUAUUUGCAUUUUUCAGAGCCCAGAUAUUCCUGCUCAACUAAUUCUAGUGCUAGGAUAGGAAUUCAAUUCAUAUGACGAUGCAUUCAAUUUUUUUAAUGACUACGCCAAACAUGCUGGGUUCGGGAUAAGGAAAGGACAGAGAAAUAAGAAGAAACACUACUUAUAUUGCAUACACUCUGGCAAAUACAUAUCCUCUAUUCACGAGGCAGACCGUUAGCGCAACAAAGUAACAAAAAGAACUGAUUGCAAGACAAUGAUGCUCUUGAAAGAAAGAGACGACGGGACUUGUGUUGUCAAAGAGAUUGUGAUUGAACACAACCACAGGCUCCUCAAUAGCCCGUCCGCGCUUGUGUUUCUGCAUUCACACAAGACGAUAGAUCCAACAGUGAAAGAAUACAUAAAAGACCUAUAUAAGACAAAUGUUAAGCAUGUGAAUAUCAUGAGUAUCCUUUCUUGGUUACCUGGUGGGCGCGACAAAUUACCUUUUACAGACAAGGAUGUGCUUAACAAGUAA